rnacentral:pre_miRNA from 12 species
UGUAGCGAGAUUUUCUGUUGUGCUUGAUCUAACCAUGUGGUUGCCAGGUAUGAGGAAAACAUGGUUCCGUCAAGCACCAUGGAACGUCACGCAGCU